rnacentral:other from 1 species
CUCAAUCUGGGGUGUGCGAGGACUCAGAUAAUGUCUAACCUACAUUAAAAUAAGGGAACCUGAUUUGACUUAGGAAGAUGGAGAAUUAUCCUUAUGAUAAGUAACAGAAACCGAGCUUAGGGAACCCACCUGCAAGUGCGCAGGUUUAGACAUUCGGAGGAGCCGGCAUUUUGGAAACCUU